rnacentral:rRNA from 1 species
CCUACGGGAGGCAGCAGUGGGGAAUAUUGCACAAUGGGGGAAACCCUGAUGCAGCGACGCCGCGUGAAGGAUGAAGUAUUUCGGUAUGUAAACUUCUAUCAGCAGGGAAGAAAAUGACGGUACUUGACCAAGAAGCCCCGGCUAACUAAUUGACAGCAGCCGCGGUACUACGUCGGGGGCCGCGGUUAUCCGGAUUUUCUGGGGGUAAAGGGAGCGUAGACGGGCAUGCAAGUCUGCUGUGAAAAGCCGGGGCUCAACCCCGGGACAGCAUUGGAAACUGUGCUGCUGGAGUGUCGGAGAGGCAAGUGGAAUUCGUAGUGUAGCGGUGAAAUGCGUAGAUAUUAGGAGGAACACCAGUGGCGAAGGCGGCGUGCCGGACGAAGACUGACGUUGAGGCUCGAAAGCGUGGGGAGCAAACAGGAUUAGAUACCCUUGUAGUC